rnacentral:rRNA from 1 species
CCUACGGGUGGCUGCAGUGAGGAAUAUUGGUCAAUGGGCGCGAGCCUGAACCAGCCAAGUAGCGUGAAGGAUGACUGCCCUACGGGUUGUAAACUUCUUUUAUAUAGGAAUAAAGUGAGGUACGUGUCCUUUUUUGUAUGUACUUUAUGAAUAAGGAUCGGCUAACUCCGUGCCAGCAGCCGCGGUAAUACGGAGGAUCCGAGCGUUAUCCGGAUUUAUUGGGUUUAAAGGGAGCGUAGGGGGGUUGUUAAGUCAGUUGUGAAAGUUUGCGGCUCAACCGGAAAAUUGCAGUUGAUACUGGCAGCCUUGAGUGCAGUUGAGGUAGGCGGAAUUCGUGGUGUAGCGGUGAAAUGCUUAGAUAUCACGAAGAACUCCGAUUGCGAAGGCAGCCUACUGGACUGCAACUGACGUUGAUGCUCGAAAGUGUGGGUAUCAAACAGGAUUAGAUACCCUAGUAGUC